UGUCCAGAUUUGUUUAAUUG
rnacentral:misc_RNA from 1 species